CGGAUAGGACAUUUUAUAACGUUUUACCUAAAAUUUGUAAACAAAGUGGCGGGAGCGCGAAAGCUAAGUUGAAACAUGAAAAUAAUUUGAUUAUCAAGAGGUAGACAUUACUUUGCCGGUGAAAACGUUGUUGUUCUCGAUGUAUAAGGUGACGAAUGUCUACAAUGGAUAAAUCAACAUCCAGCAUCUGCAGUUGUUGCGUCCGCAACUGUAUUGCGAUAAUUCCAACAGCUCUCUGGAUGUUUUUAAUCGACCUGUCGGAUGGUUUAUUAGCUCCGUACGGAGCCCCCAAAAAUAUGAAUAAAAUACGUAUUUCUUAUUAAAAUAAACGAAGCGACAUCUAAA